GCGGAACCAGUCAGGGGCCCUGCCCUGCCCCUCACAACCUACCGGCAGCCCUGCACAGCUGAAUUUCACCUCCUGUCACAUAUUCCAUAUUAAAACACAUAGAUAUGUAUGAUACAGGGGGAGAGAUUGCUCCCAGGCCCGGGAUUUGUACGAGGUGAAGUCUGUGGGGUAUGGAGGCCCUGUCGUCCUGACAGGCAGGGACGGCUGUGAGAAGGAAGGCCCGAGGGAAAGAGAGACAUCUCAUUGUGGGAGCUCCAGGGCAAACUCCCUCUCCACAGGUGCAGGAACGACGUUUCCAGGCAAGCUUAAACAGAAGAGACAGCAGAGCAAACACUCCAGCCCAGCCCAUCAUUGGCUUCUGUGCUGGAUUGAACAAGACCAGAAUUCAGACCUCUCAUUGUAGCUCCUUUGCCAAGUUAUUUCCAUGAUUUACAGAGCUCUGAUUAAAAAAAAAAAAAAAAAAGAAGAAGUAGUAACAGUGAGAUGAAAGGAGCAUCCAGACUGUAUUGGAGAAGGUUUUCUAAAGAGGUGGGUUGAUUUUAAUUAACUUCCUGAAUAAAACAAUUCAGGUCUGGAGCUGGCAAUCUCCAAUAAUCACUCUUUGGCCUCUGGAUGAAAAAGGGAGUCAAUCACACAAAACAAUGCCACAAAAAGGCAGUCAAUGGAAGGAAGUAGUUCUGUGUAUUACAGCAGUACACACACUGAGGGAGGCCCAGCAUCCAGAGGCCCAACAUGACAUUAGUCCCCACUGCAGUAGACACUAAAUACACACUGGAAGAGACAGCCCCCUCACUCCAAAGCUUAUCUUCUCUGCAAGACUAGUUCCUGUUUAUAUAUUUUGAGCAUUUCCCCUAAUUCAAACUCUAUAUGCACAGAGAAAGACUUAACUUUACAGUGAGCUACUGUCUCAAGAGGACCACAAACUGCAGUUCCAGUUACCCAACGAUGUGACCAUUCUGUACCAUGAACAUCACUUGGUGUCACUCAACAGAUCCUGCAUCCCUAAUUCUUUCCCUCUGCCCCUCCUUUUGUGUGUUCUCAAAAGAGGUGACUUACACCACAUUUUCCUCAGGAGGAGUUAAUACAGAACUAGAGGAAAUAUCCAAAACCUUCCAGUUGCCAUCAAGCAAGAAAGAUGAACAAUAAGAGGGAAAAAAAGUGUCUGAUAGCGAGAGUGGCUUGGCAAAGCUCAUGACAAGAGGGUAUUAUGCAGAUCUUUGUUCAGCCCUUGCUCCAACAGGAUCCACAGCAUGGCACAUCCUCACUUCAGACACACAUCUAUGCCACUGCACCUUCAAUCCACCCAGCAAAGCUCCUGGACUUCUGCUGAGCAGAGAAUGUGAGUCAGGAGGGUUGUGUUAAAACUGCUCAUUGCUUUUCUGCUGCUGGGAGAGAGAGAAAAGCCUUGUGAUGGAGUUCAGAGUCUGAACUCUGUCCCCCGUCAGUCCCACUGACAUUAAUGUGGUAAUUCUGGGUUAGGAUUUGGGUUAGGAAGGCAUCCUCAAGCAGGAGAGCACACUGGUUUAAAAGCAGGCAUAUUUAUGAAAGGUUGCCCUGGAGUGGUUGUUUUUAUUGAUGUAAUUCAGAGCAGAAUCUGACCCACUGACUCUGAGCCCAGAAUACAAUUACUCAACAGUUUAACCAGCAAGGUAGGCUCUGUGGGAAGAAAAGAAAAUUGGCAUUUAAAGGUGAGAUUUCCUUUGCCACUGCUGGUGUAUUUUUCCUUUUGUCAGCAGAAUUAGUGAGUUAAUUAGAGAAUUAAAGAGUAAGCAGAAAGGGACUAUGGGAGGAGUAGGGAAGCUUCAGGGUUGUGCUUUUAUCAGAAUGGCAUUGCUUCAUUCUGAAUCACCUGAUCUAUGGAUUUAGCAAAAGAAAUUUUGAGACACUUGAAAAAUGAAUGAAAGUGAUCCUGAAUGGGAGGGGGAAAAAAAGCCUAAAGUAAAUAGCUUAAGUCAAUCUGUCCAAAUGUCACAUGUAAGGAUGGCUUUGCUCUGCUUAAUGACAGGAGAGCAAGGAAGGUAAGGGGGAGGAAGGGACCCUUUUUGAAGGACUGUUGUUCUAAUGUACCUGUGUUUAUUUUAAAAGCUUUUCAAGGAGGUAGGGAGGGAAGCUACUGUCUCCCAGUGAUAAAAGUUGAGUGAUUAAGGACCCCAUUUGGGGGCAAUCUGUUCUCUGUCUCUGUAGUUGCCUACAAAAUCCCUGAUAUGCAGGUAGAGCAAGCUCAGGAGAACAUGGCUGAUGGGAGAGGACUGAGAACCAGGACUCCUGGACUUUAUUUCUAGUCCUGACACUGACUGUGUGUGCAGGCAAGUGGAAGUUCAGUGAAACCACCCCUCUGACAAAUGAGGACCAUAGUCUUUACUCCCUUCCUAAGACAGGGAAGCACUGAGGCUGCAGGAGUGUCUGCCAAACACUUGGGUCCAUGGCUGAAAAGUGGCUCAGACACACAAAGUAUCUGGUAGUUUAAACAGAGCAGUGUGCAGAGCUAGACCCUUACUGGAGGAAUUCUAAUUCCUGUAACAUAUCUGUUCUUGUUCUAAUUAGACAUGGUGUUUGAACAUCUGCACCCACCAUCUCCCUGUUCUGUGGCAAAUAAUCUCAUGGUUUAUGGCUCCUCUGUUACAAAUGGAUCCUUGCUCGGCGUCUGAUAUUAAAUAUCAGGCUCGAGUCCACUGUGCUGCCUGUGAGCUACUCUGCUUUAAAAGACAAAAGCUUUUGCUGCAGUUGCUGUCACGUACAGACACUGUAACCUGGCUCUUGUGGAGAAGGCUGGCUGUGGAACAUCUCCCUGCAGGUUGCUGAACAUAAAGGUAUUCUUGGGUUUAGUUCCAGGAGAUUGUUCUGCCAGAAGUUCAGAGCCAGUUCCAGCACUCGCUGACCCCCGCUGUCCUCACACACCUCAACAUGGCCCUUAUUGAGCAGAGAGGAAAAGGCUCUUGCUCUCUGCCUCUCUCCUGUGCUCUCUCUCUCUCAUGUAACGUUGUCCUUUACGAGCAAUGACAGAUUCUCACUGCUCCUCUGUGCCCUUCCAUUGAGAUGAGAAGCUAAGUCCAGAUUUGUUUUUGCUGUCAUUCCAAAUGAAGCCAGAGGAGUUAUGCUGGGAUUCAUCUGCAUUCUGCACUUUACCUAAACAAAUUUGAAAGGACAGGUUUUUGAAUGCAAGUGAUCCUGCAAGGUACCCAGGGUCUUUAGUCAAUGAGAGAGAAGGGCAUUCACAGCCACGCUGUGGAAGAAGGGGCAUUUUCAUGGCACAUGCAAAAUGGUUCCAAAACUGCUUUUCCCCUGUGUUUUGUGAUGUGAUCAAAUUAGACCUCAGAAAAUAUAAGAAAGGAGAGAGAGAAAGAAAGAGGGAAAAAGAGAGAGAGAAAGAGAGAAAGGAAGAGAGAAAGAAAGGG